UGGGGAAUAUUGGACAAUGGGCGCAAGCCUGAUCCAGCUAUGUCGCGUGAAUGAUGAAGGUCUUAUGGAUUGUAAAGUUCUUUCAGUAGGGAUGAUAAUGACAGUACCUACAUAAGAAGCCCCGGCUAACUUCGUGCCAGCAGCCGCGGUAAUACGAAGGGGGCUAGCGUUAUUCGGAAUGAUUGGGCGUAAAGGACGCGUAGGCGGUUUUGUAAGUCUUUAGUGAAAUCCCCAGGCUUAACUUGGGAACUGCUAAAGAUACUGCGAGACUAGAGUAUGGGAGAGGUAAGUGGAAUCUUUGGUGUAGAGGUGAAAUUCUUAGAUAUCAGAGAGAACGUCGGUGGCGAAGGCGACUUACUGGAACAUAACUGACGCUGAGGCGUGAAGGCGUGGGGAGCAA
rnacentral:rRNA from 1 species